rnacentral:lncRNA from 1 species
CGAAUUCAGGAAGACCCAUUGCCAUUUGGUCCAACAAUAACCUAAUCUCUCUCGCAAUUGCUGUGGCCCUUAUUUCACCGCUGCCUUGUUCGGCAAUCCCUUCUCUCAGCUCCAAACCCUUUUCGCUUCCUUCGACAACUACUCCAUUUUCGCAGGCGAAGAAUUUGCCUACUGGAUUGGAGAAUGGGUUAUUUCUAUGCUCACUUUUUUUUUUCUUUUAUUCUUUCUUGUGGGUUUAUUGGAAAGAGUUUAUUCCAACUAGUACCCUUGUGUUAUAUCGAAUUGUUAAAAAGUAUUCCAUUUUAUUUUAAUGGUAAAAAAAAAACCCUAUGAUUUAGUUUCUUUUAGCAAUUAGUACCCCUGGUUAGGGGUUGUGUGCUAAAAAAAAUGAACCAUAGGGAAUAUUUUGCUAAUAAACUAACAUAGGGGUUGUGGGCAAAGGGGUGUUUCGGGAAAAUGUUAGGAAGAAUCGAAUUUGUUUGAUUGUUUAUCCUUGGAGAUUAAAUUUAGAUUUGAGUGAUGUCUUGUUAUGUAAUCACCUUAUAUAAUGCCCCAAUAGGAGUGACGACGUAUAGCGAGGUUUAUCAAAAUCGAUUGAACUCGAAAAUGAAUAAAUUUGCCGAUUUUGAAACUCCCAUUUUGAAUAUGCCGAGAGCGAUUGAUUUAGAUAGCUUGUGAAAAUUAUGUUGUUUGAUUGCAGAAAAAUCAGACCUUGCCCUUCAAUAAACCCCAGCUGUGUUUCGAGCAAUCCCAAGUCGUCGAAUUUUGCAUUUCCAUGGAGUAUACUAGGAGGUUCUUCUUCAAAUACCGC